UUAGAAAAACAGAAAAAUGCUUUAUGACUUUUCUGACAACCCAGUAUAUUAAAGUGUUUUACGAUAAACUGAAUUAAAGAAAAGGUGUUGAGAUGAUCAUGAAUACAUUUACAACGAUUACCACAAGCUCAUCCUCUCUUCACAAGAAAAUAUGUGUAUAAAUGGAACUGAACAGUUUAAACUUGUAUUGCUGAAAGAUUAACUGUAUACGUAUUCUGAUAACCCUGUAUUAAUACUAUUAUACCUAUUAGCCUCUAUAAAAGUCUAUACCUUUUCCUGGUAGCAAGUGAAUAGCAACUUGUACUUUGAAGUUUUAAAAAUGUUUAAUUAAGGGUGGGGGUAGAUAGCAUAAUGGUUAUGCAAGGAGACUCUCAUGCUUGAGGCUCCAAAGUCCCAAGUUCAAUCCCUCACACCAUAAUAAGCCAGAACUGUGCAGUGCUCUGGUGUCUCUCUGUGUCUUUCUCUCUCUGCAUCUCUCUCAAAGAUAAAAUAAGUAAAAUACUUUAAAAAUGUUUAAUUAGUUCUAGCAAUAUAAACAUUCUGUAAAUAUACAUACAUUUAAAAUAAUUAUAUAUUUCUGAAGCUGUCACACUCAGUAUAUGAUUCAGCCAACACAAUAUGUUUAUUCCAUGCAGAUGAAUAUUCUUGCUUUUUUUCUGGAAGAAUAAUGUUUUAUAGUCUACCUGGUGGUCUAGUCCACUUGUUUAUAAUCCUCUGUCAGAAUUAUGAGUGAACUAUAAAGUGUUAAAUGGAAGAAUGACUCAUCUCUACAAACAACAUUCUACUAAUAUAGAUACACGGUGAAUGCUGGUGGAGGAUAUAACAUAAUGUUUAUGUAAAAUGUUUGCAUGCCAGAGGCUCUGAAGUCCCAAGUUCAGUCUCCCACAUUGUCUUAAACCAGAGCUGAGCAGUGCUCUGGUUUAAAACAAAAAUGGAGAACUUCUGGGAGGUGGGAUUAUGUAGUAGCAAGCAGUUCUCCCCAAUCAACUGGGAAAAGCAAUGAAAAUCACCUCUGAAAACUCAACAAAUGUGACCAGGAUCUCUUCAAACUCGCGAAGCCAUGGAUUCAAGUUGCUGAUGCUACCAUGAUGCCAACCUGACUUCCCUGGACAGAUAACCUCACCAAUGUGUCCUGGAACCCCACCUCUCCAGAGCCCUGCCCCAGUAGGGAAAGUAGAAACAGGCUGGGAGUAUGGAUUGACCUGGCAAUGUCCAUGUUCAGCAGAGAAGCAACUAUAGAAGCCAGGCCUUCCACCCUCUGUACCCCAUAAUGACCCUGGAUCCUUGGUCACAGAAUAGGAAAGUUUUCAGCGAGGGGAUGGGAUAUGGAACUCUGGUAGUGGGAAUUGUGUAGAAUUGUAACCCUUUUAUCCUAUGGUCUUGUUGACAUUUUUUAUUUUAUAAAUAAAUUUUUAAAAAUCA